CUGAUUUUAGCGGCGGACGGGUGAGUAACACGUGGGCAACCUACCUUGUAGAUUGGGAUAACUCCGGGAAACCGGGGCUAAUACCGAAUAAUCCAUUUUGCUUCAUGGCGAAAUGUUAAAAGGCGGCUUCGGCUGUCACUGCAAGAUGGGCCCGCGGCGCAUUAGCUAGUUGGUAAGGUAACGGCUUACCAAGGCGACGAUGCGUAGCCGACCUGAGAGGGUGAUCGGCCACACUGGGACUGAGACACGGCCCAGACUCCUACGGGAGGCAGCAGUAGGGAAUCUUCCACAAUGGACGAAAGUCUGAUGGAGCAACGCCGCGUGAGUGAAGAAGGUUUUCGGAUCGUAAAACUCUGUUGUAAGGGAAGAACACGUACGAGAGUAACUGCUCGUACCUUGACGGUACCUUAUUAGAAAGCCACGGCUAACUACGUGCCAGCAGCCGCGGUAAUACGUAGGUGGCAAGCGUUGUCCGGAAUUAUUGGGCGUAAAGCGCGCGCAGGCGGUCCUUUAAGUCUGAUGUGAAAGCCCACGGCUCAACCGUGGAGGGUCAUUGGAAACUGGGGGACUUGAGUACAGAAGAGGAAAGCGGAAUUCCAAGUGUAGCGGUGAAAUGCGUAGAGAUUUGGAGGAACACCAGUGGCGAAGGCGGCUUUCUGGUCUGUAACUGACGCUGAGGCGCG
rnacentral:rRNA from 1 species